GUUUACGACCUCGAUGUUGGAUCAGGACAUCCAAAUGGUGCAACCGCUAUUAAAGGUUCGUUUGUUCAACGAUUAAAGUCCUAUGUGAUCUGAGUUCAGACCGGAGAAAUCCAGGUUGGUUUCUAUCUGUAAAUUCAUUUCUCCCAGUACGAAAGGACAAGAGAAAUAGGGCCAACAUUCAUAAUAAGCCCUAGAAUCAAUAUAUGAAUUUAUCUAAAUAUACUAAACCAACUUAUAUGCCCCCAAGAACAGGGUUAUUAAGAUGGCCAGUUCUGCCAUCUGUACAUCACUUCUGUAUUUCUUGAACUUAGAAAAUGGCAUUUAU
rnacentral:ncRNA from 1 species